UGUCCGCAGUCGCGUUGUGUGCAAGCAGAAGGAUAUGAAGUGUCGAGAGAAGGCUCACUGUUACGCGACGGGAGGCCCUAGCACUGAUGGGUUGGCGGGAUUGGUGAGUGAAAUUGGCGCUUUCUAGUACGUGCGUGUGGCUUCUCAUGCAAUGUUGCACAAUCAAUAUGUUGCCAUAUGAUAAUAAAUAUAAUAACAACAGCAUCACGGACCGAUAUUAGUUAUAUCUUCUUCUAUGGACGAUGAACGCCAGGCGUGCCCUACCGGCAGCUCAUAAGAAUAUCCGGCCUUUCGUAGUCUUUCGGUACGAAAUUAUGCCUCCUCAAAUUGAAAUGCCUGGUGACGGAGUAAGGAUGCUAGGCCAAGGCGACUCUACAUUGUUAAUUUAAGGGAGUCUAAGAGUAUCAUUGUAUUUAAAAUGGUUUAUUAAAACUAUAUGCGUAGAAAUGUGCCUGUCAAAAUAGCUGUGCUUCGUUCAGAAAAACUAAGAGCAGGAUUAGUCUCCUUUAUAAUCGGCGCUCUGAUCUGGUAGUAAUAUACAUUCACUUUAAUCGUACAAGCAACGAUGCAGAUGUAACUACACAUAUCUUUAAUGAUUGUAGUAACUUGAGAAACAUAAUAAAACGCUUAAAAGACUGCAUAAUAUUGCUGACAAAUUCUCGCUUGGUGAAGUUUACUAAAGUGCUUAACUGAAUGUAUUUUUUUUUUCUAUUUCAACUUCGUGCCAGUUUUUAUACUGUGUCAUGGAGUUACGUGCUCAUGCAGCGCAUUCAAGUUUUCUGAAGAAUAAUUUCGUUUGCUUACUUCAUGUAACAACCAACCAACUGCAUUCAUUCGUUUGCAAGUCAGACACACCGACACUCAAGACAUGCACACAUAUGUACGCAUCUUCUUUGAUUAGCGGACUCUCAUGACCAUUCGUAGGACGUUCUUCAACACUACCACUAACUUGCAAUAGCGAAAGCUACCCACACCAGCCCUAUCCCGAUUUUUUUUAUAGUAAGCAAGGUCCUAACAGAAUGUAAAGCACUGGUGGUGAAAUAUAUUCGGUGAAUCGCUGUUACCAAAGACGAAGAGUUAUAUAACAUUGUAGCAUAUCGUGCCUUUCACAUUCGGUGACAGCCACCGGAUGUAAAAAAACGCCGAUGUGCAGCGUAGAUCGAAGCCGGGCAAGCAGGCCGAUCGGGACAAAAGCGAUCAGUAAUGUUCGAGGCUGGCGAAAGAAACAUACAGAGGAGGUUAACUGCCGUGAUUAUCGAUUUGUUUUGGCGCGAGAAGCCGGGCCCAGUCUUCGUCCUUCGCCGUCGUCCGUGUCUAGUGGAGGCGCUGGUGUCGCUCUCCGCGAGGGUGCGCUGGCACCGGGGACCCGAGGCCCGCAAAAGCGAGACGUGGUCCGCGCAUUUGAAGCCGGCGCGCGAGGUGUCUCGCGCGGUGUUGCAAGUGUCGGCGAUGCGCAAAAGCGCGCUUUCAGUUUACGCAGUCGCAGGAACGUGAGCGUCAGCCUAUAAGCAAGGCGAGAACAUCGGAAGACGCCUGAGAAGUUUUCACUGCAGAGCUCUUGAUACUGCCUGGCGUCGUUGCAGCGAAUGAAAACUGCAUGCCAAAACAUGCAUGCCGGCGUGGUCGUCCUGCACAGUACCUCGUUCGAAGCGACCGAGAGCGAUCUGCUACUGGAUGACCAACAGGAACAUCUGGCAGCUGACCACCUUCGACAAAACUUCACGGGGCUGUUGAGAGGAAAAACGAAAACUAAAGCUUUCCAUUCAAACCUCUGCCCUGCGUGCGAAAAAAGCAACGGCAAGCAUAUGGUGCAAUUCUAUGAUCACCCGUAUGAUGUGGUGGGCACGAAGGACAAGGACAUUGGAUGAGAUCUCCUUCUGGCUGAUUGAAAACAACUGCCGGGUACUGAUUGCUGCCUGUGACACAUUCCGAGCUGGUGCUGUGGAGCAGCUGCGCAUUCACAAGCGCCACCUGAAUUCCCUGCGCCAACCUGAGAAGCAUGGCGGCAAGCAGAUGGUGGAACUGUACGAGAAGGGUUACGGGAAGGAUGCCGCAAGCAUUCCCAUGGAGGCCAUCAACCAUGGUUGGCGCUGCAAUAUCAAUGACCUACAUCACAGGACAGCCCAUUCUUUUGUUGGCACGGCGAAAAAAACCUACAUCGACUUGAGAACGAUCAACGCCAAGGCAGUGGUGCAUGCACUCAUGAAGUAGACAGCACUGGUGAAGCUUGGCAGCCUUUCUUCCCUGACCUGGCUACCCUUUCCAGCUUUUCCUUCUUGAGAUAGUUGCAGUUUUGUUGAGAGUGCCACACUUUCCUUCAUUUUGUUGAUCCGAGAAAGAAGCCUUGUUAUGUCAAGAUUUUUCGUGGUGUUAUUGAGUUAACACGUAAAUUUUGAAGAACCGGAAGGUUCUUUCUUUCUUUUUUUGCUGAAAACAAUGUUGUUGAUAGCUACCUAUGCUACAUAUGUGUUAAUUUUGUUACAUUCCUUUGAUCGUCGUUUCAUCAUUUGUUGAGGAAUUCACACAUAUUAGCUUAAGCUCCCGUUUAUGUGGGAAACUGUGAGCUGUGUCUGCUAUGCCCCGCCACCUAAAUUUGUGUGUUAUGGGCUUUCACGUCACUUUCUUGGGCUUUUUGCUCAACACUAAAAAAUUAUUUACAUAUGAUUAUUUGUACAGCGUUUGUUUUUACCUUUCUACCUUAAAUCUGUGCACAUUUCCGUCUGUUUGAUGUUUAAUUUUGACUGUCAGUAUCUUUACCAUCUUAGUCAUGCCUAACGGCUAUAAUUGUUGCACCUUUAUUAUUUUCUUAUAUUUCAGUGCAAUGGCAAUGCUCUGUCGAGUGGCCCGGAUUGACUGUGCUCUAUGAUAUGCAUAGCUCAUUUUGGUUGUAAACCUCACCAGAACCUAACUGCGGUAUUUCACAAACAUUGCCAUGUUGUGCUGUGAACACUAUAAUCAGUUACACUUGGCUUUAGUAGCGGUGAUAAUUUGUGCCUGGAAUUAAAGUAUGUGUUUUACUCUAUAAGAAGCUUCUUGAUUCAUUAUGGUUGCUUAUCUUAAGGUCCAAACACUGCUUGAACCUUGAGACCCUUUCUUGGCAGGAACAGCAUGCCAAACAAAUGAAAAUGCUACUGUGGCGUGUGUUCAAGAUGCUUUAAUUAUGUAAUGGUUCAGUUCCAGUCCAUGGGAAUAAAAAGCUAUAACAGCUUGCGAAACAGUCCACGUUGUUGAACCAGAACAUCGCAGUGCACUGGAUCCUCAGGAUCAUAUGUUGUCAUGUCACAAUUGUUGCAUCCCAGUUAUCCAUGCAUGUGCAAACACUGAUGGAAUUAUAACAGCGUCUUUCUUUAAGCGAUCUAGCAGCUUGCACGAAAAUGUUUUGCAAUAGCAUAAACCGCUGUCUGCGUAUCAUCGGGAUACAAGCCCUGCAUUGCGUUUUGAUACCGUGUAUCAUGCCAGGCGAUAAUUAUCAAACAGUAAUAAUAAACAUGUGGUUACCAAAAUCUCAAAAAGAAUAUUGCAAGUGCAUCUUAGUGUGAUUGCUGACUGCUGCUAGGAACAGAAAAGGCAAAGGAGAGAGAGCGGAAUUGAAUGUCUCGUCCAGUUUUGUCUCCAUUGUGUUGAAAACACCUUCCGACGAAAUAUUUACCGAAACCGUCAAUGCUUGUGCUCUAACCUUCAUAUUGAACGUAUCUGUACCUGUGUACCUAGCACGUGGUUGCCACUCAUCUGCAAACCCAAACGCUGCUUCCUUCAGUAGAGCCUAUUGGUGGCCCCCAUGACCCCCUCUGAAUCCGUCAAUGACCCCAUUGUGUUUCUAGCUGCGGCAAACAGACGGUAGCAUACAGCCUGUAAACAGGCUGGCGGCAGUGUGAAAGUGAUAAAGCAUUGGUGUAACUGUUUACUUAUAUGUGUUGGAGGGAUCAGCCAUAUGACGCUGUAAGCUGAAACGCUGCCCACUGGCUUAGGACAAUAAUAAAAAGGAUAGAUUUCAGUAGCAGCCAACAGUUACACUGAUGCUUUGUUGCUUUCACGCGUUACCAAAUCAGCUAUUUAUGCAAGGCAGCUACUCUCCACGAUAGUGCACUGGCCAUGGCUUUGCACAACUGACCUUGAGAUCGCCAAAUUGAUCCUAGUCGUGGCAGCCACCUUUCGAGGAACGUUAAAGAACCCCAGGCAGUGGCAUCAUUAAAGGGAGCAGACUGCCCUGGGUGCAGCCCAUUAAGCGGCAGCUGUGCUGCGGUCGCCACUCGAGCCGCCUUUGUUUUCUCGGCGGCUCGUAGCCGAAUGCGGUAUACGUCUGUGCCCUGGGAAGUCGAAUGGGCCAAUGAAGAGAAUGGGCUGUUGGCGUAGAGUUUGCAGUGUGUAACUGCAGAAUUUCUAUAACGCUUAAAAAAGUGUGACAUGCCAAACUGCCACCAUGUUGUCUUUAUGUUUAACAGAAAUAAAUGCGGAAUUACAGGUA